UACGAAGGGGGCUAGCGUUGCUCGGAAUCACUGGGCGUAAAGCGCACGUAGGCGGCUUGUUAAGUCAGGGGUGAAAUCCUGGAGCUCAACUCCAGAACUGCCUUUGAUACUGGCGAGCUUGAGUUCGGGAGAGGUGAGUGGAACUGCGAGUGUAGAGGUGAAAUUCGUAGAUAUUCGCAAGAACACCAGUGGCGAAGGCGGCUCACUGGCCCGAUACUGACGCUGAGGCGCGAAAGCUAGGGGAGCAAACGGG
rnacentral:rRNA from 1 species